rnacentral:rRNA from 1 species
AACGAACGCUGGCGGCAUGCCUAACACAUGCAAGUCGAACGAGACCUUCGGGUCUAGUGGCGCACGGGUGCGUAACGCGUGGGAACCUGCCCUUAGGUUCGGAAUAACUCCCCGAAAGGGGUGCUAAUACCGGAAAAUGUCCUCGGACCAAAGAUUUAUCGCGUUUGGUUGCGCCGGCGUUGGAUUAGCUAGUUGGUAGGGUAAAAGCCUACCAAGGCGACGAUCCAUAGCUGGUAUGAGAGGAUGAUCAGCCACACUGGGACUGAGACACGGCCCAGACUCCUACAGGAGGCAGCAGUGGGGAAUAUUGCCCAAUGGGCGAAAGCCUGAUCCAGCAAUGCCGCGUGAGUGAUGAAGGCCUUAGGGUUGUAAAGCUCUUUUACCCGGGAUGAUAAUGACAGUACCGGGAGAAUAAGCUCCGGCUAACUCCGUG